rnacentral:antisense_RNA from 1 species
CUUGAUGGUGGCUGUGCGCAGGGCGCUUCGGCGCGCCGGAUUUCCUUGGGUCCCCGGUCGACUAACCUGCGUACAGCCGCCACCCUU